GAAAGCACAACAAAUGAGAGCUAUAGGCACAGUCUCACGAGUCGUUCUUUCCCUUUUUGUCUUUUUUGCCUUGCUUUUUUUCCUUCUUCUCCUUUUUCUUCUCCUUUU
rnacentral:ribozyme from 15 species